rnacentral:rRNA from 1 species
GAAGAGCCCAAACCGGAUCGAAGCAAUUCUGUCCGGGGUUGUAGGACUACUUUUAGAAAGUCAGAUCAAGUUGAAUCAUCUGGAAAGAUGAGCCGCAGCAGGUGAUAGCCCUGUAGACAGAAAUUCUGAUGGACGUGUAGUAUCCUGAGUAGUGCGGGACCGGAGGAAUCCUGUAUGAAACUGCCAGCACCAUCUGGUAAGGCUAAAUACUCCUUAGAUACCGAUAGUGAACCAGUACCGUAAGGGAAAGGUGAAAAGUACUCCGAACAGGAGAGUGAAAUAGUUCCUGAAACCGUGCGCUUACAAGCGGUCGGAGCUCGCAAGAGUGACGGCGUGCCUUUUGCAUAAUGAGCCUACGAGUUACUCCUCACUGGCAAGGUUAAGGUCUUCAGUACCGGAGCCGUAGCGAAAGCAAGUUCUAACAGAGCGAAUCAGUCAGUGGGGGUAGACGCGAAACUUUGUGAUCUAUCCAUGGGCAGGGUGAAGGUUAGGUAAAACUAACUGGAGGCCCGAACUCAUUAGCGUUGAAAAGCUAUGGGAUGACCUGUGGAUAGGGGUGAAAGGCCAAUCAAACUGAGAGAUAGCUCGUUCUCCCCGAAAUGUUUUUAGGAACAGCCUUGGAUAUAGACGUAUUAUAGAGGUAGAGCUACUAAUUGGGCUAGGGGGCUUCACCGCCUACCAAACCCUAAUAAACUCCGAAUGCUAUAAUAUAAUCUCCAGGAGUGAGGCUGUGGGCGCUAAGGUCCAUGGCCGAGAGGGAAAUAACCCAGACUAACAGCUAAGGUCCCUAAUGAUAUGUUAAGUUGAUCAAACGCGGUUCAAAUCCUAAAACAGCCAGGAUGUUGGCUUGGAAGCAGCCAUUCAUUUAAAGAGUGCGUAACAGCUCACUGGUCGAGGGUUUGGGCACGGAAAAUAAUCGGGCAUCAAACAUAUAACCGAAGCUUUAGGCCUAGUGCUAAUGGUACUAGACGGUAGGGGAGCAUUCUAAACUGCAUCGAAGGUGUGUUGCGAAACAUGCUGGAGCGUUUAGAAAAGAAAAUGUAGGCAUAAGUAACGAUAAAUAAGAUGAAAAAUCUUAUCGCCGUAAGACUAAGGGUUCCUGAUCAACGCUAAUCGGAUCAGGGUUAGUCGGGUCCUUAGGCAAAGCCGAAAGGUGUAGCUGAUGGCAAACUGGUGAAUAUUCCAGUACCUGCUAUAAAUUCGAUGGAGUAACGGAGUAGUGAAAGGAUCGCGCACUUACGGAAUAGUGCGUUAAAGGGCGUAGGUAUAUU